rnacentral:rRNA from 1 species
GCUUGCAUCUUGAUUUAAUUUUGAACGAGUGGCGGACGGGUGAGUAACACGUGGGUAACCUGCCCUUAAGUGGGGGAUAACAUUUGGAAACAGAUGCUAAUACCGCAUAAAUCCAAGAACCGCAUGGUUCUUGGCUGAAAGAUGGCAUACGCUAUCGCUUUUCGAUGGACGCGCGGCCUAAUAGCUAGAAGGUGAGGUAACGCCUCACGAAGGCAAUGAUACGUUGCCGAACUGGAGGUUGAUCGGCCACAUUGGGACUGAGACACGGCCCAAACUCCUACGGGAGGCAGCAGUAGGGAAUCUUCCACAAUGGACGCAAGUCUGAUGGAGCAACGCCGCGUGAGUGAAGAAGGCUUUCGGGUCGUAAAACUCUGUUGUUGGAGAAGAAUGGUCGGCAGAGUAACUGUUGUCGGCGUGACGGUAUCCAACCAGAAUGCCACGGCUAACUACGUGCCAGCAGCCGCGGUAAUACGUAGGUGGCAAGCGUUAUCCGGAUUUAUUGGGCGUAAAGCGAGCGCAGGCGGUUUUUUAAGUCUAUGUGAAAGCCCUCGGCUUAACCGAGGAAGUGCAUCGGAAACUGGGAAACUUGAGUGCAGAAGAGGACAGCGGAACUCCAUGUGUAGCGGUGAAAUCCGUAGAUAUAUGGAAGAACACCAGUGGCGAAGG